CCUGCGGAGGGAUCAUUACUGAGUGAGGGCCCCCGGGUCCGACCUCCAACCCUUCUGUGAACCACCUCGUUGCUUUGGGGGCGACCCCGCCGUUCGCGGCGCGGGGCCCCCGGAGCCCAUCAAACCCUGCGUAACCACGUCGUCGGAGUUUAAACAAAUCAAUCAAAACUUUCAACAACGGAUCUCUUGGUUCGGGCAUCGAUGAAGAACGCAGCGAAAUGCGAUAAGUAAUGUGAAUUGCAGAAUUCAGUGAAUCAUCGAAUCUUUGAACGCACAUUGCGCCCCCUGGUAUUCCGGGGGGCAUGCCUGUCCGAGCGUCAUUACACCAAUCGAGCCUGGCUCGGUGUUGGGCGUCGCGGGUCUCCGGACCCGCGCGCCUCAAAGUCUCACCGGCUGAGCGGCGUCGUCUCUAAGCGUUGUGGAAACUAUUCGCAGAGGGACGGGGCGGUGCGGCCGUUAAACACCCCAUCAAAGGUUGACCUCGGAUCAGGUAGGGAUACCCGCUGAAC
rnacentral:rRNA from 1 species